AGUCCUGGGCUGGCCCCAUUGUCAGCAGCAACAACACUUGCUCUAAAGCUGGCCAGGGGUCGCCACCAAGACCCAGUGUUGAAAGCCACUGUGUCAUUGCAGGACCAAGUGGAAAAGGAGAGGCUGCCUCCCUCCUGCGCCUGCCCUAGAAACAGUGGGCCUGGCAGUUAGUGGAGGGAGCUUAGGAGAUCCCGUCUUCCGGAAGGUCCAGGAGCUCACCACGCCUGUUAGAUUCCAUGAUGAUAUUCUAGCACAGAGAGUUGUGGGCUAACCCAGGGUUUAAACUGUGAUGUCCAAGCAACUGUUGGGCUGCAUUAUGCCAGCUCAAGGGCUUUCUCCAAUCCCUGCCCCGAGGUGGCCACCGCAGCAGUGUAGGAGAGUGAAGGAGCC
rnacentral:lncRNA from 1 species